CCUUAUCAGAACACUUUGCAUGUUUUUGUAUACUUGUCCCCUUUGUGUAUUGCUGCUAAUCUUUCUCUUUCUAGGUUCUGUUGGUUGCAUGCAGAUUGUGCCAGAUGAUUUAUCUGUCUAUGGUCUAAGCAUGGGCUCUGUGCUAAUAUGCAAUUUGUGCUCUUUUUUCCCUCAGGUCAACAGCCGACAGGGUCCUUCCACAACCACAUACUUGUGCCAGUAAAAGCCACAGCUUUUCUCCUCCAAUCCAAGAAGCCUGGACUGCAGUCACCAUCUCAACACACCAACCAAGAGAAAGGCGGAUGGCUCAAUUCAAUAUGGAAAAUUGCACAAUAAAAGUUCCAGGACAUGAAGGCUGCAUACUGUGAACGUCAACCUUCAGGGCACCGUCCUGCGCAGAAGACUUUCUACCCUAAGAGGGAUGGCUGACCGCAGACACUCACAACCAGCACAGACGCCUCCAACCUCAAACCAGGCCCUUCACAGUUGCUGCACUUACCCACCUUCCCAGAGUUUUUGUGUGGUAAUGACAACUGUAAAUAUAGUAUAAAGUAAUGUAUCUAGUGUCAUGUGUAAUACAUUGUUUAAAUUGUCCAUACAUUUCAAUGACAGUAAAUAUUGGUGGACACAAUUUGACUGUGUGGCUUUUUUUAAAAUUCAUUCUCUGACUGAAAAUGCAUGGUUACAUAAUUUAUAUAUUCCACAAGACCACAAUCAGAAGAACAUUUGACAGGUUGCAUUUAUUUUCUAUGUAUGAAAAAAACAAUGGUAACAAGACAAACGUGGUUCCAAACCAAAAAGGUGAGAUGUACAGAUGAAUGCUCCUACAGAUAAUGAAAAAUAAUAAAAGUCUGCACACUGCCGGUUUGUGUGUUUUAUACCGUACUCUGUAUAAACCUUUUAUAUUGCUCUAGUGGAGCAGGGUAACCCUGGCUAAUCCUGGGUAUUGUACUGUGUAUUACAAGGUCAGCCCUGUUCAAGUGCCCCAUACUGUCUGCAGGCUGCAUGCCUGAAGAGACCGUUUCUCUCACCUGGUCCUACAUCAGCCCAAAGUCUUAUCAAAACUGAGAACACCACAGCAUUUCCUUUCAAUGUUCAUGGGCAUCUCCUUACAGAUUGCGCAGAGGCGCCAGGUUGGUUGUGCUACUGGGCUGUGACUGAGGACCAGAUGUCAUGUGCCAGGUCGAACAUCAAACUGGGGUCACGGGUCAGGGCACGCUGCAGUAACCGAUGGGAUUGCUUCAAAUUCAAUGAUUGAAUCAAGGCCUGCAAAGCAAUAAAUACAUUUUAUGUAGUGCAUUUUCUAUUUGAUGAUGGGGACU